rnacentral:rRNA from 1 species
GACAUUUGGUAAAGAUUUUUGAAUCCACCUGGUCCCAGCAGACCCCAGGAGGUGGAUGUAUUUGCCCGUGCUGGGGCAAGGUCGUUAACGGUGAAGCCUGGUACCAGAUGUGU